rnacentral:rRNA from 1 species
AGAGCGAACGCUGGCGGCAGGCCUAACACAUGCAAGUCGAACGGACCCUUCGGGGUUAGUGGCGGACGGGUGAGUAACACGUGGGAACGUGCCUUUAGGUUCGGAAUAGCUCCUGGAAACGGGUGGUAAUGCCGAAUGUGCCCUUCGGGGGAAAGAUUUAUCGCCUUUAGAGCGGCCCGCGUCUGAUUAGCUUGUUGGUGAGGUAAUGGCUCACCAAGGCUACGAUCAGUAGCUGGUCUGAGAGGAUGACCAGCCACAUUGGGACUGAGACACGGCCCAAACUCCUACGGGAGGCAGCAGUGGGGAAUCUUGCGCAAUGGGCGAAAGCCUGACGCAGCCAUGCCGCGUGUAUGAUGAAGGUCUUAGGAUUAGUAAAAUACUUUACACCGGUGAAGAUAAUGACUGUAGCCGGAAGAAGAACGCCCCGACUAACUUCGUGCCAGCAGCCGAC